rnacentral:rRNA from 1 species
AACUCACCUGCCGAAGCAACCAGCCCUGAAAAUGGAUGGCGCUUUAGCGUUCUGCCUAUACUCAACCGCUAGAAUGGAGCUGGCACUUCGGUGCAGAGCCCGUAUAUUCUAGUGAGUAAGGAGGUGUGAUGGUAAGCGUUGAAGGGUCUGGGUGUAAACCUGCCUGGAGCUGCCAUCGGCACAGAUCUUGGUGGUAGUAGCAAAUACUCAAGUGAGAUCCUUGAGGGCUGACGUGGAGAAGGGUUCCAUGUGAACAGCAAUUGCACAUGGGUGAGUCGUUCCUAAGCCAAAGGCGAAAGCCACGCUCAUAAACUUGUGGCCACAUGAAUCUUAUAAAAAAUAUACCAUGCCAGAAGCAGCGCUAGUGGAAGCAAUAAUGGUUAAUGCAACCAUGCCAGAAGCAGCGCUAGUGGAAGCAAUAAUGGUUAAUUUUUUCUUUCGAGUGAGCCUGCAAGGAGUUUGGCGAAAGGGAAUCCGGUACUCAUUCCGGAACCUGGACAUGAGGAGUAGUGUUGCUUUAUGCAUCACAUAGCCGCAAGGCAUUUACCAUCCUGGAGAAUCCAACCAGAGAGCCGGGAAGAGUUGUCUUUUCUGCUUAAGGGGAAGAGGGCCUUGUGAACUGGGUCGGUCAGAGAGAGGGUCUUUUCCCCGAAUAGCACCGCGGUUCUUGCGGAGUCCAGCUCCUCUGGUAUGGAACUUGAAAAUCCAGGGGUAAGAUGAAAUACCUUCAUGCCAGUUCGUACCCAUAUCCGCAUCUGGUCUCCAAGGUGAACAGCCUCUUGCCGAUAGAUGAAUGUAGGUAAGGGAAGUCGGCAAGCCAGAUCCGUAACUUCGGGA